rnacentral:rRNA from 1 species
GACGAACGCUGGCGGCGUGCUUAACACAUGCAAGUCGAACGGAAAGGCCCUGCUUUUGUGGGGUGCUCGAGUGGCGAACGGGUGAGUAACACGUGAGUAACCUGCCCUUGACUUUGGGAUAACUUCAGGAAACUGGGGCUAAUACCGGAUAGGAGCUCCUGCUGCAUGGUGGGGGUUGGAAAGUUUCGGCGGUUGGGGAUGGACUCGCGGCUUAUCAGCUUGUUGGUGGGGUAGUGGCUUACCAAAGCUUUGACGGGUAGCCGGCCUGAGAGGGUGACCGGCCACAUUGGGACUGAGAUACGGCCCAGACUCCUACGGGAGGCAGCAGUGGGGAAUAUUGCACAAUGGGCGGAAGCCUGAUGCAGCAACGCCGCGUGCGGGAUGGCGGCCUUCGGGUUGUAAACCGCUUUCGCCUGUGACGAAGCGUGAGUGACGGUAAUGGGUAAAGAAGCACCGGCUAACUACGUG